GAGCGAGUCGGUGAACCAGGCCUGGCUUGAGCCUGGCUCCCUGGGAUAUGCUGGCUGCCUCGGGCAGAGGCGGAAGAACAGGGAUUUGGAGGAAGAGGGAGAAACAGGUGACAUUAUCAUGCGCUCAUUCAAUAAAUGGACGCCUGCUGUGUGCCAGGCCCUGUACUAGUUGUACUAGUUGGGGCCAUGGCGGUGAAAAAGAAAACCUACAAAAUUUUGAGUGCCGCCCCCAUUUGGGCACAGCCCUGAAGGCCAGCCCUUUUGGAGGUGCUUCUCAUGCAAAAGGAAUCGUCCUGGAAAAAGUAGGAGUUGAAGCCAAACAGCCAAAUUCUGCCAUUAGGAAGUGUGUCAGGGUCCAGCUGAUCAAGAAUGGCAAGAAAAUCACAGCCUUUGUACCCAACGACGUUUGCUUGAACUUUAUUGAGGAAAACCAUGAAGUUCUGGUUGCUGGAUUUGGUCGCAAAGGUCAUGCUGUUGGUGAUAUUCCUGGAGUCCGCUUUAAGGUUGUCAAAGUAGCCAGUGUGUCUCUUCUGGCCCUAUACAAAGGCAAGAAGGAAAGACCAAGAUCAUAAAUUUUAAUAGUGAACACACUGUAGUAAUAAAUUUUCAUAUGCCAAAAAAA